rnacentral:lncRNA from 1 species
CCUAGAAGUAGCACAUAAGUGCUGGGAAUAUCUUCAACUGAGUGGAUCCUAAAGGGAUCAGACAAACGUUAAGUUCUCCAGGAAAAGCAGUGAAUUCUUCAGGGAAACUCCAGUUUGAGUCAAACAUGUAGAUUAAGCCCCUGAACCUUAACUGUCUACCCACUCUGAACCUUAAACUCCCCCCCCCCCCCCCACUUCCCAGAAAACCAAAAAAGGAAGAUUUGCCAAAGAUUUAAGGAAAUCUACCAGGGCCUUCACUAUUUCUGUUGUUUUUAUAUGUAACACAAUAGGCAUCUGGAAGAACCAUUAGUCCUGUGGUGGAAAAAUCACCAUGUGCAAGCUGAGAUCCAUGGACUUCAAAGACAACAUAAACUAUUCUGCAAUAUUGGUUAUUUUACAGUGGUUUUUUUUUGUUUGUUUGUUUUUCCUUUUUUAAUAUUGAGUGCGUACCUUGAGAUAAUUCCUGUUCAUUGUGCUUUUAGAGACAACCUUUCUACUCUAAAUGACAGACUGAUGUAAGACCUAAUAGAUGCUACAGAUGCUGAGUAUUUCCAUGGGAUCUGUCAGGAUUUGGAGGCAUCUAAUGGAAGUAAUCUUACCAUCGUUACUAGAGAAGGAAAUUGGUGUGAAUCAGAACAGUUCCCUGAUAACAUAGAAAAGUGAACACAGUCAAAAAAUUCAAUGCGAGCAAGUUCUCACUGUAAGAACAGGAGUUUUAUUCAAAAAUAUUUAUAUCCAUGAAAUCCCUCUUACUGUCAGAAUUCAAUGUCUUUUCUCUCUUCACUGCAUUUGGUAAUAAUAAAAAUAUAUUUUCAGAAGAUUGCA